rnacentral:rRNA from 1 species
AACGAACGCUGGCGGCAGGCCUAACACAUGCAAGUCGAGCGAGACCUUCGGGUCUAGCGGCGGACGGGUGAGUAACGCGUGGGAAUAUGCCCUUUGGUACGGAAUAGCCUCGGGAAACUGAGAGUAAUACCGUAUGUGCCCUUCGGGGGAAAGAUUUAUCGCCAAAGGAUUAGCCCGCGUUUGGUUUAGGUAGUUGGUGGGGUAAUGGCCUACCAAGCCUACGAUCCAUAGCGGGUUUGAGAGGUUGACCAGCCACAUUGGGACUGAGCCACGGCCAGGACUCUAACGGGGGGAAGAGGUGGGGAAUCUUAAACAAUGGGGGAACCCUUGAUUAGGCCAUGCGCCGUGGUGGAUGAGGGCUUUGGGUUUGUAAAGCUCUUCAGCUGGGGAGAUAAUGACGGUACCAGCAGAAGAAGCCCCGGCUAACUCCGUGCCAGCCGCCGCAGUAAUAC